rnacentral:rRNA from 1 species
AUUGAACGCUGGCGGCAGGCUUGACACAUGCAAGUCGAGCGGAGAUGAGGUGCUUGCACCUUAUCUUAGCGGCGGACGGGUGAGUAAUGCUUAGGAAUCUGCCUAUUAGUGGGGGACAACAUUCCGAAAGGAAUGCUAAUACCGCAUACGCCCUACGGGGGAAAGCAGGGGAUCUUCGGACCUUGCGCUAAUAGAUGAGCCUAAGUCGGAUUAGCUAGUUGGUGGGGUAAAGGCCUACCAAGGCGACGAUCUGUAGCGGGUCUGAGAGGAUGAUCCGCCACACUGGGACUGAGACACGGCCCAGACUCCUACGGGAGGCAGCAGUGGGGAAUAUUGGACAAUGGGCGGAAGCCUGAUCCAGCCAUGCCGCGUGUGUGAAGAAGGCCUUUUGGUUGUAAAGCACUUUAAGCGAGGAGGAGGCUACCUGGAUUAAUACUCUAGGAUAGUGGACGUUACUCGCAGAAUAAGCACCGGCUAACUACGUGCCAGCCGCCGCGGUAAAAC